rnacentral:rRNA from 1 species
GCUAAUACCGCAUACGUCCUACGGGAGAAAGCAGGGGACCUUCGGGCCUUGCGCUAUCAGAUGAGCCUAGGUCGGAUUAGCUAGUUGGUGGGGUAAUGGCUCACCAAGGCGACGAUCCGUAACUGGUCUGAGAGGAUGAUCAGUCACACUGGAACUGAGACACGGUCCAGACUCCUACGGGAGGCAGCAGUGGGGAAUAUUGGACAAUGGGCGAAAGCCUGAUCCAGCCAUGCCGCGUGUGUGAAGAAGGUCUUCGGAUUGUAAAGCACUUUAAGUUA